rnacentral:rRNA from 1 species
AUUGAGCGCUGGCGGCAUGCCUUACACAUGCAAGUCGAACGGCAGCACGGGGCAACCUGGUGGCGAGUGGCGAACGGGUGAGUAAUGCAUCGGAACGUACCUUUCAGUGGGGGAUAACGUAGCGAAAGUUACGCUAAUACCGCAUAUUCUGGGAGCAGGAAAGCAGGGGAUCGCAAGACCUUGCGCUGAUUGAGCGGCCGGUGUCAGAUUAGCUAGUUGGUGAGGUAAAGGCUCACCAAGGCGACGAUCUGUAGCGGGUCUGAGAGGAUGAUCCGCCAGACUGGAACUGAGACACGGUCCAGACUCCUACGGGAGGCAGCAGGGGGGAAUUUUGGACAAUGGGGGCAACCCUGAUCCAGCCAUGCCGCGUGAGUGAAGAAGGCCUUCGGGUUGUAAAGCUCUUUCGGCCGGGAAGAAAUCGCACGGGCUAAUACCCUGUGUGGAUGACGGUACCGGAAUAAGAAGCACCGGCUAACUACGUGCCAGCCGCCGCUGUAACAC